rnacentral:rRNA from 1 species
UACGUAGGGUGCAAGCGUUAAUCGGAAUUACUGGGCGUAAAGCGUGCGCAGGCGGUGAUGUAAGACAGAUGUGAAAUCCCCGGGCUAAACCUGGGAACUGCAUUUGUGACUGCAUCGCUGGAGUGCGGCAGAGGGGGAUGGAAUUCCGCGUGUAGCAGUGAAAUGCGUAGAUAUGCGGAGGAACACCGAUGGCGAAGGCAAUCCCCUGGGCCUGCACUGACGCUCAUGCACGAAAGCGUGGGGAGCAAACAGG